CUCAUCCUGGAUCUCGGAUGACUCCCGGACACUCUGAGUGAACAUCACAGUGAAGCAUUUAAUACAAGAUACAUACAGGGAUUCCACCGUGGACUCCAGCUGCUCUCGUUUGGACAGCUCCUCCUCCCAUCUGCAACACAGAGCACAGAGUCAUCUUUACAACCCCUCAGUAAAACAGCUAUAAAGAAGAAUGAAGUUCCAUCCAACUCCAAACACAACAAACGCUGCUCAUGAAUAGUUUUGAACCGUUGUGUGACUGCAGAGGGACAUUUGAGCAUUAACACGCCCAAAAAGCUGCAGCCUGAAUUCCUUCCUACUUCAGGCAUGGGGAAUCUGUUUAUAGGAUCUGAACAGCAAUGCUUUAAAGCAAAUGAAGAUAUUUGGUCAUGCAUAUAACAGAGAUAACACCUACUGAGACAGACUAAAGCUACUGACUAGUAUGCAAAACCAUUAGUAGUAGACGAAUGUCUACACUGCUUUGUUGAAGCUAAUGGGGAUCUGAAAAAAGAAUAAAGUAAUUCCAGUAUUUAUUGAAGGUAAGGAAGGUUGAAUUAUUCAUCAUAGUUGGCAGACUGGCAGACAAGCCACACUAACAAGGAGCUCACAUUAUUGCUUUAGUACAUUUGUAAGUAACAUAAGAUGACAAAAGACUAAUCAGUUCUGUGCUUGAAGCGAAACGCUGCUGAGCUUAUAAUGACAAUGCUAAUAUGCUGUUGUUAAGCAGGUAAGUUUACAAAGUUCACCAUCUUAGUUUAACAUUUUUGCAUGUUAAGACUUGGUCAUUAGAAACACAAUAUACAGCAGAGUCUCAUGGGAAUGUCACAAGUGCUUUGUUGUAAGCCAAACGAUUUGACACUUGUUGUGACCUGACCAUGGUGCUAGAUAAAAAGUUAAGGGAACAUGAGUGAGAGUGACAUGGGCGUGUGUAUCAAGUAGUCUCUAGUGUUUUCUGAGGUUUUUCAGUCUGGACAAAAGCAGCGGACAAAACGGCUGACUAACGUUGCCAUCCCUAGAGCCACACCAACAGUGUGGCUAAAAAUAAAGUGCCAGACACCCCCCGACUGGCUGCAAGCUAUGAUUAGCAGCAUGGGUCUCUUAGCCUCUGGUGAUGGGUUGUGUCACUCCUCUGCACCAUGGCAGCUAUGUAUAAACAAAAUUAUGAGCCUGUUUAGUUGCCGUGCAGGCUGUA